UUUCUUUUCUUCCUGUCUUACAUCACCAUCUGUCUCUAUAACCACUCACACUCACUCCCACUCCCACUCCCACUGAAUUUACAAUGAAUUAUUCAACAAGACAUCGUCAUUCUUGUUUCUUCUUUUUACCUCUUUCAUAAUUCUCUCUCCCCCCAUUUUCUCUAAUGGGAACUUGCUCUUUUUCCAUCAAGGUUCAUUCUUUAUCUACUUUACUCAUCUUUCUCAUCAUUUUGAGCUCCACCCAUGCAAGGUUUUUGCCUCAAGGUGGGUCAAGUUUCAAGCCAAUAGACAAGAAUCUCCAGAUGGAAAGAAGAAAUCUUUUGAUUGGAUCAAGACCACCAAGAUGUGAGAAGAGAUAUUGUAUAAACUGUGGUCAUUGUGAGGCAGUUCAAGUCCCUAUUGUACCAAAAGUCAUUAAUACAACUCAACAAGCAUCAAGUACAACCACUAAACACAUACUUAACUCAAGAGGUGAUGAUCUCUCAAACUACAAACCCAUGUGUUGGAAAUGCAAAUGUGGAGAUUUUAUGUUCAACCCUUGAUCCAUAUAAUAAUACAAAUUGUACAAGAAUGAAUGCAUAAGGUACAAGUUGUAAUGCAAAAAGUACAAGCUAGAAAGUGGGGUAGGGUGUGAUGGGGGUGGUCAUGUGUGGUGUCAGUUUGGUUUGCAGGUUUACGUAUCUUGCAAGAUUUUCCUUUAUUAUUUGCUGAAAAGAAUUUCCUCGGUCUCAUAAAAGUUUAAGGUGGGGUGUAAAUAAUAAUAUAUGAGAGCGGGUACAAGUUGGAGAUGCAUGAGUGUACAAGUGAAAGAUGCAUGGAUUUACUGGGUCAAACAGAUCUCAACUGCUGCUGAUUUUGUGCACAUGAUCGGUUUUUUUGUACACUGCUGCUGCCUGUGGAUGAUUAUCGAAACCAUUCCUGGGAUGGGGCCCACUUUUUGUAUUUUCUAGUGUUUUUAAUUCCAGAUAUUUAUAUAAUAUAAUAAAUACUUAUUUUUCCAUAAUGUAUAAUUAUUUUACCACUUG